CCUACGGAAGGCAGCAGUGGGGAAUAUUGGACAAUGGGGGCAACCCUGAUCCAGCCAUGCCGCGUGAGUGAUGACGGCCUUAGGGUUGUAAAGCUCUUUUCUCCGGGACGAUAAUGACGGUACCGGAGGAAUAAGCCCCGGCUAACUUCGUGCCAGCAGCCGCGGUAAUACGAAGGGGGCUAGCGUUGCUCGGAAUCACUGGGCGUAAAGGGCGCGUAGGCGGCUGAUUUAGUCGAGGGUGAAAGCCCGUGGCUCAACCACGGAAUGGCCUUCGAUACUGGUUGGCUUGAGACCGGAAGAGGACAGCGGAACUGCGAGUGUAGAGGUGAAAUUCGUAGAUAUUCGCAAGGACACCAGUGGCGAAGGCGGCUGUCUGGUCCGGUUCUGACGCUGAGGCGCGAAAGCGUGGGGAGCAAACAGGAUUAGAUACCCUGGUAGUCCACGCUGUAAACGAUGAAUGCUAGCCGUUGGGGUGCNUGCACUCAGUGCGCGCUACGCCUACGCNUCCGUCCGUCGGGAGGUACGGUCGCGAGAAUUAAACUACAAGAAGUAGACGGCGNGAGACGNGCCGACGGACGACGACGAGGGAGGUAGG
rnacentral:rRNA from 1 species